ensembl:snoRNA
CAAACCAAUGAUGGGAAUGUGUCAUGAACCAAGAAUUAUGAUUAAUACAAUCUGUGAAUCUGAGGUUUAA